AUGAACGCUGGCGGCGUGCCUAAUACAUGCCAGUCGCGCGAACAGACGAGGAGCUUGCUCCUCUGACGUUAGCGGCGGACGGGUGAGUAACACGUGGAUAACCUACCUAUAAGACUGGGAUAACUUCGGGAAACCGGAGCUAAUACCGGAUAAUAUAUUGAACCGCCUGGUUCAAUAGUGAAAGACGGUUUUGCUGUCACUUAUAGGUGGAUCCGCGCCGCAUUAGCUAGUUGGUAAGGUAACGGCUUACCAAGGCAACGAUGCGUAGCCGACCUGAGAGGGUGAUCGGCCACACUGGAACUGAGACACGGUCCAGACUCCUACGGGAGGCAGCAGUAGGGAAUCUUCCGCAAUGGGCGAAAGCCUGACGGAGCAACGCCGCGUGAGUGAUGAAGGUCUUCGGAUCGUAAAACUCUGUUAUUAGGGAAGAACAAAUGUGUAAGUAACUAUGCACGUCUUGACGGUACCUAAUCAGAAAGCCACGGCUAACUACGUG
rnacentral:rRNA from 1 species